rnacentral:tRNA from 1 species
GGGCCUGUAGCUCAGCUGGCUAGAGCAUCUGUUUCGCAUACAGAAGGUCACCGGUUCGAGUCCGGUCAGGUCCACUA